UCUCUCUCUCUCUCUCUCUCUCUCUCUCUCUCUCUCGUCUAAAGCCACGAACCCACACCUAGGGGGGGCCGGCUUUCCUCCCCUUCUUUUCUCUCAUCUCACUCUCUCCCUCUCAUCUCAAGUGACGGACCCGCGCCUUAGGCGGGUCCGCUCAACUCUUUCUCCCUUUCACUCUCUUGCUUAUUUCUCAUCCACCCCUCUCAUCUUGCACCUCUCAUCUGCCCCUCUCACCCAUCAUCCUCUGAUCCGCCCCUCUCCCCUAUACGCCCUAUCCGCCCUACUCACUUCAUAUCCCUAUACGCCCCAUCCGCCCUACUCACUCCGUACCCCUAUAUGCCCCAUUCGCCCUACUCACUCCAUACCCUAUACGCCCCAUCAUCCCUACUCACUUUAUAACCUCAUACUACUCGCCCUAUCCAUCCUAUCCGCCUUAUUCACCCUACUUGCCCUAUCCACCCCGCUUGCCCUAUCCGCCCUAUACCCCCUAUCCACCCUAUAUGUCCUAUCCACCCUCUCUUUCCCUAUACACUCUAUCCCCCCCCUUGUGAGCCUAGACCCAUACCUCAAGUAGGUCCCUUGACUUCACCCUUCUUUCACUCUCUUCCCUCUUUAAACCAUAUUUUAAACUCCUCAUUCACUUUACUUUGCUUUUCAUUUCAUCAUUAUCUUCAUUUCUCCAUUUGCUCUUUGCUUCUUUCACUCUCAAGCAUUCGAUUCGAGGUCGUCCUGAGAUGGUGCUCUAGGUUUUUAACUCUCGGAUUGCUACUCUAACCAUCAACUCGUACAAUGAAGUCGGGUCAAAAGAGACACUAUUCUCUUACACUCGAGUCGGGGUCUUCUUGAGUUAACUUUCUUUAGAAUUCUAACCCUCCCACUACUCUAACCACCGAGUCACACAGUACUCAAGUCGUGAGGGGCUUUCAUAUCUCUCUUUCC
rnacentral:lncRNA from 1 species